rnacentral:rRNA from 1 species
GUGCCAGCAGCCGCGGUAAUACGUAUGGAGCAAGCGUUAUCCGGAUUUACUGGGUGUAAAGGGUGCGUAGGUGGCAGUGCAAGUCAGAUGUGAAAGGCCGGGGCUCAACCCCGGAGCUGCAUUUGAAACUGUAUAGCUAGAGUCCAGGAGAGGCAGGCGGAAUUCCUAGUGUAGCGGUGAAAUGCGUAGAUAUUAGGAGGAACACCAGUGGCGAAGGCGGCCUGCUGGACUGUAACUGACGCUGAGGCACGAAAGCGUGGGGAGCAAACAGGAU